CACGUAGGGUGCGAGCGUUGUCCGGAAUUAUUGGGCGUAAAGAGCUCGUAGGCGGCUUGUUGCGUCGACUGUGAAAACCCGCGGCUUAACUGCGGGCUUGCAGUUGAUACGGGCAGGCUAGAGUUCGGUAGGGGAGACUGGAAUUCCCGGUGUAGCGGUGAAAUGCGUAGAUAUCGUAAGGAAGGCCGGUGGCGAAAGCGAGCCUCUGGACAGUUACUGACGCUGAUGCACGAAGGCCAGGGGAGCAAACGGG
rnacentral:rRNA from 1 species